rnacentral:rRNA from 1 species
UACAGAGGGGGCUAGCGUUAUUCGGAAUUAUUGGGCGUAAAGGGCGCGUAGGCGGCCUUGCGUGUCUUUCGUGAAAUCCCUCGGCUUAACUGAGGACGUGCGGAAGAAACUGCAGGGCUUGAGUCCGGGAGAGGGGGGUGGAAUUCCCAGUGUAGCGGUGAAAUGCGUAGAUAUUGGGAGGAACACCGGUGGCGAAGGCGGCCCCCUGGACCGGUACUGACGCUGAGGCGCGAAAGCCAGGGGAGCGAACGGG